AUGCAGCAUUAUGUGGCCCUCACGCCAAAUCCAAACCCAGCAGAGCAAUUCACACCGUUGAGCUCGAGAAUUCCUGAAAUAAGAAGAUCCAAGGUGAAGGUCAGAUGGGAAGAAGAAAAGGAUGACACGGACACGCAACAUGAGGAACCCAGAAAAAAGGAAAGGGGAUGGAGGCGGAUGCAGGAGGAGGACAACCGACGAUGGACGCCGACGGACGGGCGACAGUCGCAGCUGCCACGAAGGAAUGCUUCAGGACACGACAUUAAAAACAUGAAAGAAGGGGCCUGCCGAGGACAGUACAUGGCAUGUAAAGGUCAUCAACGGGGAGGCAGGCCCGGAGCAGAAGCUCGUCGACGGGACGGAGGACGGCGGCGGCGCAUCACAGACGAAGGAAUAGAGAAGUAG
rnacentral:rRNA from 1 species